AGUCUAGGUCUUGCUGUAUUGCCCAAGGCUGGAGGACAGUGAUGCAAUCAUGGCUCCCUGCAGCCUUGAUCUUCUGAGCUCAGUCCCUGCUUUGAUAACCACAGGCAGCUACGGGAAAGAGUGGGAAAAGUGAGAUAGUCCCAAGAAACAGGCAACAGCAGGGUAAGUGAAAAUCAAUCAACCUAAAGUCAAACUAAAAUUUGUGAACAUGUUUCCUUGAACUAAGUUUCUUUUUUUUCUUUUUCUUUUUUUUUUUCUGGAGAUGGAGUCUUGCUCUGUUGCCCAGGCUGGAGCUCAGUGGUGUGAUCUCAGCUCACUGCAACAUCCGCCACCCGGGUUCAAGCCAUUCUUGUGCCUCAGCCUCCUGAGUAGCUGGGAUUACAGGCACACACCACCACGCCAGGCUAAUUUUUGUAUUUUUAGUAGAGACGGGGUUUCAUCAUGUUGGCCAGACUGAUCUCGAACUCCUGACCUCA
rnacentral:lncRNA from 1 species